CAAAUUUCAAGAAUGCAUUAUAUCUUGACUAGUUUUAUCAGUUUUGUAGUAAUUGUUUUGUUUUCAAAAGAAAUUGAAACACGGGUUACCGAACAAAAACGAACCUCUUUUGGUUUCCUUCAUGAAGAAACUGAGCUUAUCGUGAAUGGUUUUAACACACCUGUGGGACGACCAUUUUUUGUCAGCAUAUAUACUGCAUUUUUGCAAACGAAUUGUGGAGCAGCUAUAAUAGCCCCUUUUUGGGUAAUUACAGCGGCACAUUGUGUUCUGAUUACCCCAGUGCAAGACAUUUACGUAAUGGCGGAAGCAGUUGUGCAGUUGUGGCCUCCAUCACAUUCAACAUAUCGCCUUAGCAGGGUUCAAAACAAAUUCAUACCUGACAGUUUUGAAAUGAACCACGGAUAUUUCAAAAACGACCUUGCUCUUCUCAAACUAUUGCAACCGAUAACGGAUUCUAGUCGGAUAAUACCAUUAUGCACCGAAAGUACAACCCCUAUCCAUUGCGGCAUUUUAGGGGAGAAAUCAAGACAAUUUUAGUAGUACAGUAAGAAUGCAA